UCUCAAGCCUGGUUCUCAGAGCUUCGUAGUGUCGCCAGCGACAGUUCUCCAGCCAAUCAGAGCAUGUAAACAAAACUUCCCCUGACCCCUUCCUUUUCAUUUCUGGUUGUCGAGAAGUGUCGCGACACGCCCCUUUUGUAGUUGAAAUAUUCCAACUACACCUGGAAUUUCUGCGACAAUCACAAUAAAUAUAACCUAUCUGUCAGCCGCAAAAACAGUUGUUUUUGAUUUUAGCUAUUCUUUUCACUAUUUUUUAAUCAUGGUAUAUUUUCCAUCUAAAUUCAGAAUGGAGUUUUUCUACAAGUAUACAGCUUUAUAUUCGUGGCGAAAGGCGAAAUAAAAUAAGGAGAAGAAGGUGGAUUCUCUAGGCCACUGCGGCAGAUAGGUAUUUAACUUCCUAAUGAACCAUGGGAGUUCACUGCUAUGUACUCCAUGAAUAUUCAUUUGACCAAUAGAUAUAUGAAAAUGAAUACAAAAAGUGCCUAUUUCAUUGAAAUUCCCAAAACAAAUCAAAAACUAGCUGAACGUUACUCACACAAAAUAAACAAGAUUGGAGGUUUUGAUCCAUUUGCCAUUUAAGAAAGAGAUAUACGAGGUUACAGUCCUGAUGGAAUAUUAUGAUAUUGUGGUUUUUCUAGUUUUCACAACCAGUUUUUAAACAAAUCAGCAAAUGAAAGCAUUUAAGCGCUUAUCAGCCUACAAAUGCUCGCAUUAUAUCUGGGUUUUGCUGUUUGAAACAAAAUAUUCUGUGAGAAGUUUUUCACAAAAGGGUCAGUACAGAUGAAUAGGUGUACAUGUAAAGAAGGGAAAAAUUACCAUUUUAUGAUAAAAUGCUGCUAUGAGGAUUGUGAAAUAUAUUGGAUCCGAUCCAUGCGGAAAGU